rnacentral:rRNA from 1 species
UCCGUAGGGUGCGAGCGUUAAUCGGAAUUACUGGGCGUAAAGCGUGCGCAGGCGGUUUUGUAAGCCCGGUGUGAAAUCCCCGGGCUCAACCUGGGAAUGGCAUUUGGGACUGCAAGGCUGGAGUGUGGCAGAGGAGACUGGAAUUCCUGGUGUAGCAGUGAAAUGCGUAGAUAUCAGGAGGAAUACCGAUGGCGAAGGCAGGUCUCUGGGCUGACACUGACGCUCAUGCACGAAAGCGUGGGGAGCAAACAGG